GACAGGAGGAGCCAAGCGUUGUCCGGAUUGACUGGGCGUAAAGCGCACGCAGGCGGGUGCGCGCGUGGGGUGUCGAAACCUGGCCGCUUAACGGCCAGCGGCCAUCCCAUACGGCGCGCCUGGAGCCUUGCAGAGGGCGGUGGAAUUGCCGGUGUAGUGGUGAAAUGCGUAGAGAUCGGCAGGAACACCCAGGGAGAAAU
rnacentral:rRNA from 1 species